GCAACCUACCUUAAUCAGGGGGAUAGCCCGAAGAAAUUCGGAUUAACACCGCAUAAAAACACAGGACAGCAUUGUCCAAUGUUCAAAUAUUUAUAGGAUUAAGAUGGGCAUGCGUGUCAUUAGCUAGUUGGCGGGGUAACGGCCCACCAAGGCGACGAUGACUAGGGGAUCUGAGAGGAUGACCC
rnacentral:rRNA from 1 species